CCUACGUGAGGCAGCAGUGAGGAAUAUUGGUCAAUGGGCGCGAGCCUGAACCAGCCAAGUAGCGUGAAGGAUGACUGCCCUACGGGUUGUAAACUUCUUUUAUAAAGGAAUAAAGUGAGGCACGUGUGCCUUUUUGUAUGUACUUUAUGAAUAAGGAUCGGCUAACUCCGUGCCAGCAGCCGCGGUAAUACGGAGGAUCCGAGCGUUAUCCGGAUUUAUUGGGUUUAAAGGGAGCGUAGAUUGGUUGUUAAGUCAGUUGUGAAAGUUUGCGGCUCAACCGUAAAAUUGCAAUUGAUACUGGCAGUCUUGAGUACAGUUGAGGUAGGCGGAAUUCGUGGUGUAGCGGUGAAAUGCUUAGAUAUCACGAAGAACUCCGAUUGCGAAGGCAGCUUACUAAACUGCCACUGACAUUGAUGCUCGAAAGUGUGGGUAUCAAACAGGAUUAGAUACCCUUGUAGUC
rnacentral:rRNA from 1 species